rnacentral:lncRNA from 10 species
AUUUUUAUUAAUACAAUGGGAUGUUUUCUGAGAUAUGAGUCAUUAGGGACCAGGCACAGUGGCUCACACGUUGGGAAGCUGAAGCAGGUGGAUCACUAGAGGUCAGGAUUUUGAGACCAGGCUGGGUAACAUGGCAAAACCUCCUCUAAUAAAAAAUACAAAAAUUAGCCAGGGGUGGUAGUGCAUGCCUGUAGUCCCAUCUACUCAGGGGGCUGAGGUAUGAGAAUCACUUGAACCUAGGAGGUGAAAUUUGCAGUGAGCUGAGAUCAUACCACUGCAUUCCAUCCUGGGUGUCAGAGUGAGACUCUGGGAGAAAAAAAAGAGAGAGAGAGAGGAAGGAAGGAAGGAAGGAAGGAAGGAAGGAAGGAAGGAAGGAAGGGAGAGAGAGAAAGAAAGAAAAGAAAGAAGAGAGAAAGAAAGAGACAGAGAGAAAGAAGAGAAAGAGAAAGAAAGAAAGAAAAGAAAGAAGGAAAGAGAGAGAGAAAGAAAGAAAGAAAGAAAGAAAGAAAGAAAGAAAGAAAGAAAAAAGAAAGGAGAGAGGGAGGAAGGAAGGAAAGAAGAGAGAGAGAAAGAAAAGAAAGAAGAGAAAAAGAGAGAGAAAGAAAGAAAGAGAGAAGGAGGGAGGAAGGAAGGAGAGAAAGAAGAGAGAGAGGAAAGAAAGAAGAAGAAAGAGAAAAAGAAAGAAAGAAAGAAAGAAAGGAGAAAGAAAAAGGAAGGAAGGAAGGAAGGAAGGAAGGAAGGAAGGAAGGAAGGAAGGACGGGAAAUGAGUUGUUAGGUGAUUCUGUCAUUGGGCAAACCAUAUAGAGUUUACUUACAAAAACCUAGAUGGUAUAGCCUACCACACGCCUAGGCUAUAUGGUAUAGCCUAUUGCUCCUAAGGCUACAAAUCUGAACAGCAUGUUUCUGUACUGAAUACUGUAGACAAUCAUAACACAAUGAUAAGUAUUUGUGUUUCUAGACAUAGAAAAGGCACAGUAAAAAAAUUACAGUAUUAUAAUAAUAUGGGACCACUGCUAUAUAUGCUCUCUGAAGUUCACAAACAUAUCAUUAUACAGAGCAUGACUGUAUAAGCAUAUAAAAGUUACACAUUUUCUACCGGCUAUUGCUUUAAAUGCAUAUCACAGAUUUUGAGAUGCAAUUUUUUAAACUUCUGAUUAUGAGAUAAUUGUAGAUUCACAUGCACUUGUAAGAAAUAAUACGGAGAUCCAGUGUAUCCUUCAUUUAGCUUCCCUCAAUGCUAACAACUUGCUCAACUGUAUUACAAUAGCACAACUAGGAAAUUAACAUUAACGGAAUCUAUUAACUGUAUUCAGAUUUUACCAGUUUUGCAUACAUUUGUGUGUGUGUGUAUGUAAUGGUUAAUUUUAUACAUCCAUUUGACUGGCCUGAGGGAUGCCCAGAUAGCUGGUAAAACAUUCCUGAGUAUGUCUGUGAGGGUGUUUCCUGGAGAGAUUAGCAUUUGAAUCAGUAGAUGAGUAAAGUGGAUCCACCCUCACCAAUGUGGGAGGGUGUUAUAUAAAACUGUUAGGCCCAGAUAGAAUGAAAGGGUGACGUGAGGGCAAGUUCACUUUCUCCUCUUGAGCUGGUACAUCCAUUUUCCCCUGCUCUCACACAUUGGAACUCCUUGUUCACAGGCCUUCAGACUCCAGGACUCACACCUGCAGCUCCCUCCCCUGGCUCUCAGGCCUACAGCUUUGGACUGGAAGCUGUAUCAUUGGGUAUCCUGGUUCUUAGGCCUUCGGGCUCAGACUGAAUUACACCACCAGCUUUCCUGGUUCUCCAGCUUGCAAAUGGAAUUUAAUGGAACUUCUCAGUUCUCACCACCAUGGCCUUGCUGAACCUGGAGGAACUGCCCCUCUCAGGGCUAAUUCCUAGACAAGGCAUAGAACUCACCUCUGAACACACCUGUCAUGUGCAACCAACCAACCUUCAUACCCCCAAACCACCUCCUUCAUUGGGCUCUCUCACACUUUAGGCAAGUAUCCACCUGCCCUUAUCACCUCAGGGCCAGGUACCAAACAACUUGGGGCAGUCCCUAUGUCCCAGGGCCCACUAGAAUUACUCAAAUUAGCCCAUCCUAAACCUGCUUACCUUGUCUUGCCUGUCCCUUUCUACAGAAACCACAAUAAACUCUCUUGCCCACAUUUUCCCACUCCACCUGCAUCCUGACCAUUCUGGUGCUUCCCCAUGUGGCCUCCCCAUGGCAAGGCAUGGCCCCUCCUCCUGGGAUCUGUGUAUAUAACAAACUGUCUUUCCAAUGGCAGUCCUCUCUUGAUCUCUUCGCCUUGCCAUACCUAAAUAACAAUAAAACUUUUAUUUUAAAACAACAAAAGAGUUUAUCAAUAGAAGAUUUUUAUUACUGUUGGAAAUACCCUUUUGAUUUUUAUAUCUUGUAACUAGUUUCUAGUUUUAUUGCAUUGUUAGAAAAUGUUAUUAGUCUAUUCUCUUUUGUCAGGGCAUAGAGAUCAAUAUCUAACUAUAAGAUGUAUCUAGUUGAUUUUGUUGUUCAGGUCUAUAUACUUACUUGUCAUCUUAAACUAAGAGAGAUGUAUAAAAGUCUCUAAUAUUCAGUAUGUUUCUACCAAUGUCUUCUUACAUUGCCUGUAGUGCUUGCUUCAUAAGGGUAGUUAUUUGGUGCAUUGGUGAUCAUAAUUAUUAUAUUUUUUAUUUUGAAAUGAAAUGUGCCUUUCUUUGUCCUAUAUAAUAACUUUUGACUUGAAUUCUACUUGUCUGAUAUCAGAAUUUCAAUCUACACUUUCUUAUUAUUUCCAUUUGCCUGUAAUUCCUUUGUCCUUCUCUUUGUUUUGAACCUUUCCAAAUCCUUUUGUUUAGGUUUGUUCUUAUAUGCAUUAAACAGUUGAAUUUUGCUUUGAGUUAAACUGAGAAUCUCUUCCUUUCAAUAAGUAGGUUAAGCCCAUACACAUUUAUUAAGAUGAUUGAUAUGCUUAGUCUCUACCCUGCCCAAUUAUUUAAGUUAUAAUUACAAUAUCUGUUCUAUUUGAUUUCUCUAUGUAAUAUGUUCUCUUUAUUUGUUUAUUUUAAAACUGAAAUAACAUUUUAUUUUCUGUCCUAAUGGCUAUCUUUACACUUUUAAAUUGCCCCUUUGUUCUCAUUUUCUUAUCUAACCUUUUACUGGCUGGUCAGUUUGUGAUGCUAUACUUUGACUAUACCUAUUGCCUACGCAAAAAUUAAUCAAUUUAUUCUACUUGCCUUUUUGCCACUCCCUUGUCCCCUUUUUAGCCGUAUUAUUUCUUCUGUCCAAAGGUAUAUUACUAUAUUAUAUUUUAUUACUCAUCUCCACCCUUGUUUUAGUUUCAGAUCAUCAAUUUAAAAUACUAAAUACAUAUCAGCAGGGUUUUUUUGCUGAAAUUUCGUCUGUUACCCUUUGAUUGGAUAAAGCUCAUCUUCUCUUAGAAUGCUCAAGAAAUAAACCUCAAUAUCUUGAAUGUUUUAAAUUUUUUAUUUAUAGCCUUCACACUUGAAGGAUAGCUUACCUAGGUAAAAAAGCUUUGUUCAGACAUUCUUUCCUUGAGUGUCCUGAAAAUGGUGUCCUGAAAAUGUUACUCAUUGUUGUCUUUAUUUAUAUGCUGUUUUGAGAAGGCUGAUAGUCUAAUUUUCAUGAAAUGUAUUUAUUUGUUUGCUUGUUUAUUUAGGCUGAGGCAGGGGGCCUUGGUCAUAUUUUAUUUUUAAAGUUUAAUUGUUUUAUAAAAAUAUGUCUAUGGUUUGAUUUUUCUGAUUCGAUCUCCACAGGUAAUUGGGUAGCUCUGCUGAUUAAUGUCAUUUUAUUUCUGGAAAUUGUUCCUGUCUUAUAUAUAUAAAUACUAGUUUUGUUUCCGUGUUUUGUUUUUCUUCUUCAAUAACUUCAAAUUAUGCUUAUGUGGAUCUUCUUUGCUUGCAUAUUUCAACCACUGUUUCUCUGGCCCAAUUUACUUCUUUCUUAUCUCAAUUUUUAUUCUCUUUGAUGUUUUCCUACUUUUGUUUCUCGGCAUCUUGUAAUUUAGUCUUAUUAUUAUAAAAUUUUCUCUUUAUCUUCUAUAUCUUUCCUAAGAUCAAUCAAAUACCAUUUUAUUUCUUGAUGGUUUGGGUACAUUUCUGUCCUUUCUAAAAUUACUAACCUAAGAUUAUUGGUUUUUUUAAUAUUAGCAAAUGUUUGAGAAUAUGUAAUGUAUUUCACAAUACUGGUAACAUUUCUGCUGUGUGUGGUGGGAGGGAGAAGCUUUCAUUAGCUAAGAUAGUUUGAUUCUUGUUUUUAGUUUUCUCGGAUAGUGUCUUUCUGGAAGUCAAAAUUUAUUUUGCCAUGAAUUUCAUGGACAGGACUCUUGACUUAGGGUGAUUUAAAGCAUUCUUAAAGAAGGCCUACCCCACAUUUUGUCAUGGUGGGAAAGUGCAAUUUCUUUAAUUGAUGGCACUUAGAGGACAGGUUUUAUGUUUUGUGCUCUGUUAUUUUAUUUAUUUAUUUGAGACAGGGUCUUGCUCUAUAGCACAGGCUGGAGGGCAGUGGUACAAUUGUAGCUCACUAUAGCCUUGACCCCUGGGCUCAAGCAGUCCUACUAACUCAGCCUCCCGAGAAGCUGGGACUACAAGCACCACCACACCUGGCUAACUUAAAAAAAAAAAAAAAAAAAACUUGUAGAGACAGAGUCUAGCUAUGUUGUCCAGGCAGGUUUUGCUCUGUGAUUUUUGACUUUUCUUUUGUCUUUCAGUACUUUAAGUCCCCACUUGCUCUGUUUGUCUCUUCACUGCACAAUUUUCAAAGUCUGACUCUCUCUUCUUUCUUCCCUUAUUCUUCCCAGAAGAAAUAGCUUUCCAAGACUGUAUCCUUUUUAGAUCCCUUAUCUGUAGCCAAUAUACUGAUAUACAAGGCUCUUUUUCAGUAUUUUGGCACUUAACAUGGGCUUUCUUUUUUCUAGUGGUAAUGUUAGCUCAGUCAUAAGCCCUCCUUUUGCUUCUCCUAUCUUCCACUUGGUUUUUCAAGAUGCCUACCCCUUACUCUCUGCAAAGGUCAGUGGAAGCUCAGCAAACAACUCUACGAAAGUGAUGUUUAUAGUUCUACUUACAGGUAAUUUGAAGCAGUGGUGUUCCCUGUUUUUUACUUGAGAUUUGUGGGUUUCUCUGUUGUUUUUCAUAUUGAAUUGUAUUGUUUUGAAGAGUAUGUUGGGAGAUUUUAAUUGAGAUGACCACCAUUACUUUGGCUAUUCCAAUUCCAUCAGUUUACUUGAUAUGGUUUGGAUGUGUCCCCACCCAAAUCUCAUCUUGAAUUGUAGUUCCCAUAAUUCCCAGGUGUCAUGGGAGGGACCAGGUGGGAGGUGAUUGAAUCAUGGGGGUGGUUACCUUCAUGCUGUUUUCAUGAUACUGGCAAUUUCUCACAUGAUCUGAUGGUUUUAUAAGGGGCUUUUCUCCCUUUUGCUUGGCACUUCUCCUUGCUGCUGCCCUGUGAAGAAGGACGUGUUUCCUUCCCCUUCCGCCAUGCGUGUAAGUUUCCUCAGGCCUCCCAAGUCAUGCUGAACUGUGAGUCAACUAAACCUCUUUUCUUUAUAAAUUACCCAGUCUCAGGUAUGUCUUUAUUAGCAGUGUGAGAACAGACUAAUAUAGUACUUUUUAAAAAGUUGUGUUUCAUCUAUAGGCUCUUAAUUAUUGCAGAAGAUAAUAUAAGCUUCUCUAGAUUUUAUUCAAAAAUCUUCACGAUAUGUCUUAAAUUUAAUUUUGUGCCUUCAGCAGCCAAAUCUUACUCCUAGCCCUGUACACCUAUCUUCUAUUUUAAUAACCUGCACCACAGUUUUUUACAUUCCUUAAUUUUGCCAUGUAUUUCUCAUCUUUAUACUUUUGCUGUGCUCUCUCCUCCCCUAAAACUGCCCUCCAUUAACUUAUUCACCACUUAAAAGUAUUAUUUGUUUACUGGGUUUCUACCCUUUCCCCUUAGGUUUAAUUAAAUUUUUACUCUAUGAUUAUAUGAAGAGAAAUCAAAUCAGGAGUCAUUUCCCACUCUUGAGACUGGUACCAUGGGGUGGAAUAACUAGAUGCAACAUUUAAGCGAGAUAAUCUUUUUCUCUAUUCCAAAACUAAUUUCAAAGGAAGGAACAAAUUCAACUAAAUCAAUCAUUUGUGAUUCAUUAAAACUGACUCCCACUUAGCAUUUUGGCAACAUAUGCUAACCUUUUCCUUGGUAAACAUUGUGAUUAUGAAAUUUCAAUUCCUGUGAUAUUUCGUAUUCUCCCAAAGAGAGGUUUUUAAAACAUCAGACAUUUUAGAUAAUUAAAGUCGAAUUUUUCACAGCAUAAAUAUUUUCUAUCCUUGAUUAACCAUUACAUGAGACAUAAUUAGGAGGCUGGAUGUCAAUAUUAAAUUUUAAAAAGAGAUAUGCUUUUUACAUAAAAAGGCACUUUGAUAUUUUCCAAUUCAUAAAUGUGGGUGUUGACUUCUACCAUCACUUGUCUUCAUAAACUAGAGUGUGCUUUGAAUUAUAUCUAAACAUCUACAGCAGAAUAUGGAGGAAAUGAAACUUUGGGGAAGUCUCAUUCACUGACAACCCAUGAAGUACCUUAUCAAGAAUUUCUGAAGAAUCUAUUACCUUUCAGUUCCUAACAUUUCUUAUACUGUGGGGAUUGGCCUACUCUAGGUAAACUAAAUUUAUGAAGCCCUUGUAGUUCCAACUUGAUGUUGUAAGUUUGUUGCUGAUUUGGGCAUAUUUUGCUUACUGAGGGACUUAUUACUGAAAUAAUUUGGCUAAACUUUGAGGUACAAUACAAUUAAAUAUAGAAAUAUUGAAACCUUAUUCCUCAUAGGCUAUAUAUUUAGGCAAAUACCACAUUAUCCACCACAUUGCCCCUUAGAAAAUUGACAUUUGGAGUUCUUCCCUUUAUGUGCCCAUGACCCUCUAAAUGGUAUUUUCCCAAAUGAAUAAUUUCACUGAAGGAGUGGAGGAAAUAUUUAUAACCAAGGGAAUUUUCCUAGUACACCUUAUCAGACUACUACACAGAUAGCUGGCCUUAAUAUCAAGAUACAAAACACAUCAAAUAAUUUUGGAAAUCAAAUUUAAUGCUCUUUAGCUGAUGAAAAGGUAAUGACUUCUUCCCUGGCUUCCUUUCCUACUUACAUAUUUCUGUCCCUCUACUUUGCCCUCAAGUAUGCACAACACAAAUUGGAUUUUCUUAGUCAGGUUGGAAGAUACCCCUGUCCAGAAAACAAACUUAAUUUUUUUCUGUGAUGAAAAAAGUCUGUACAUUAAUGAGAACAUUUUGUAGAAGUGAUUAAUAUGAAAAAUUAGAGUGAAGCAGUCACAACUCUUACUUUUUCAAGGUUAUCUUUCCUGUUGCUUUUAGCCAUAGUCCUACAUAAGGAUGACUGUCCCUUUUCCUUCCUUCUUUCUCUCUCCUUUCCUCCCUUCCUUCCUUCCUUCCAUUAAGCAAGAUAAUCUUUUUCUCUCUUCUAAAACUAAUUUCAAAGGAAGGAACAAAUUCAAUAAAUCAAUCAUUUAUGGUUCAUUAAAACUGACUCCCACUUAGCAUUUUAGUAACAUAUGCUAACCUUUUCCUUUCUCCCUCCCUCUCUUCCUUCCUUCCCUCCAUUCCUUCUUUUUCCUCCCUCCAUCUCUCUCUCUGUGUCUUUCUCUCUCUCUCGUAGUCUGACUUCUCACUGGAGAAAAAUUUAUAUUAGGUGGAAAUUAUAUUUGAAAGCCUAGUUCAUCUGGGCUGGCAAAAGAAUGAUGAAGAAAUGUUUUGUCACGAGAUUGUUCUCUGCAGUGGAAAACAUUGAUUUCAAUGAUUUGUCUAUCAACUGCCAAUAUACCAAACAUGUAUUAAUUUGUUUUGUCAUAAAUUCUGCACAUUUUAUAUUUAAUAUACAAUAGUUUUUUUUCAAAAACAUUUGAUGAGCAUCUCAUUGGAGUAUGAGUACAGAAAAAGAUUUCUAUAUGUUUUAUUGACUGUGUUUUUUGAAGUAAGUAUUAAGUGAGCAAUCGAAAUAGAAACUUGAGGAAGUAAUGUCUGUAACUGAUAUUUAGCUAGUUCCAAGGUAAAAUUAUAACUACAAAUCUAUCAAACCAUUACUAAGAUGACCUUAAUAGAUUUAGAUUACCAUCAUAUACUUUUAACUUGUCUCCCCGCUUUGACUCUAGACUCCUCCAUUCUUCACACAGCAGUACAAGGGAUCUUUUCAUAAUCUAAAUCAAUUCGUGUCAUGCUUGUGCUCAACACUACCCAAUGGCUUCUUAUGUCAGAGCCUACUCAUAUUCCGCCAAUGCCUACUUACUAUUUUGGGGGAGUAAUUGGACCCCUGAUGUAUUCAUGAAUGAUUAGAAUAAAAACUACAUUUUCUUCUUUAUCUCAGACCUAGAGGUAACCAUGAGAUGAAAUGAAAUUCUAUUCAAUGGAAUGGAAUCAGAAGUGUCUUAAACAAUUUCUGGGACAUAACUUUUUAGAUAGAGGUAUUUUCUUUGCUCCUUUGUAUUUUAUGGUUGUUGAAAUACAGAGUUGAUGACUGGAGCUCAUUCAGCCAUUUCAGUCCCUGAGGCAGAAGUCAUAGUCUGAGUAUGAUUGAACAGCAAGAGAGAGGAUCUUAGGUCCCUGAGAGUUUUAUGAAUUUCAACAAGAUGCCUAUAUCUUGAUGUCUUUAUAUGAAAGUGAAUGAAUAUUUAUCUUUCCUGGAAAGAGACAGAGAGAGAGGGAGAGGGAGAGAGGGGGAGAGAGAGAGAGAGGGAG